rnacentral:lncRNA from 1 species
AGCAUCUGGUCACGAGGACAUUAGGCGAAGAGAUGAGAGCGAGGACUUUGGUCAUCACUAGGCCAAUUCGAGAGGAGAGAGAGAGCGCAAUUCUGGUCACAACGACAAUUUAGAGAGGAGAGGAGGAGAGAGAGAGGAUUAUGGUCACACCGGACAAUUAGGAGAGGGAGAGAGCCACUUUCUGGUCACGCAGGACAAUUAGAGAGGCGAGAGCGGAGGAGCACUCUCUGUUCACGCAGGACAAUGUAGAGAGGAGCGGAGGAGAGACGAGAGCACUUUUGGUCACGCAGGACAUUCGAUAGAAGAGGUAGAGAGGCACACCUUCUGUGUCACGCAGGACAAUUUAGAGAGAGAGAUCGAGGAGAUGAGGCACUUCUGGUUCACGCAGGGACAAUUAAGAGAGGAGAGAGAGAGAGAGCACUUCUGGUCACGCAGGACAAUUAGAGAGGAGACGAGGAUAGAGCAACUUCUGGUCAGCAGGACAUAUUAGAUAGAAAAGAGAGAGAGAGAGCACUUCUGGUCACGCAGGACAAUUAGAAGAGAGAGGAGACGAGAGAGCAUCUGGAUCCACAAAGGACAAUUAUAGAGGAGGAGAGACGAGAGGACAUU